ACCUAAGGUCUUGUUUUCCCUGUGUUGACUAGAAGCCCAACCUGAUCUUGAAUGUGGAUGGUUUCAUUGGUGUGGCCUUUGUGGACUUGCUCAGAACUUGUGGAGGAUUUACGAGAGAUGAAGCUGAUGAAUUUGUUGAAAUUGGUGCCCUUAAUGGCAUCUUUGUCUUGGGACGCAGCAUGGGAUUCAUUGGACACUACCUCGAUCAGAAGAGGCUGAAGCAGGGACUGUAUCGCCACCCC